UUAAUGUGUAUUUGUUUUUGAGAGAGAGAGAGAGAGCAUCAGCAGGCAAGGGGCAGAGAGAGAAGACAGAACUCGAAGCGGGCUCGAGGCUCCGCGCCAUCGGCACCAAGCCCCACGUGGGGUUCGAACCCAUGAAGCCGUGAGAUCAUGACCUGAGCCGAAACCAGGAGCCGGAAGCUUAACCUGCUGAGCCAGCCAGGAACUCAUGAUCGAGGAGAAUAAAGUCACCGGCCCUGGAAUCCAGGAGGUCUCGGCCACACCCCGAGCCCCGUCCCAGGCCUUCUGGCAAUGAGGGAGCAGGGGACGCAUCAGUGCGCUGUGGAGAGCCCCGACCUGCUCGGGUGUGGGGAGGGGGGCACACGCCAAGGAGCUGCUCAGAGGGUCACAUGCUGGCCUAGUCGCUUUGUGGACAAUCCAGACAGAAGGCAGCGGCCGAUGGGCCAGAUGUGCCUCCAGGCAUCCCCAGCCUUCCAAUUCUGAGACAGAUGUUUUAUGACUCAAGAGUUUUGGGAAAGCAAUCUUGCUUCAAAUAUUCCUCUUGUAAUCGACAUCUGAAGUUUUUUACAAAAUAGGCGCUUGGUUUUUUUAACUUGAAAAUACCUGAAACAGCUCUCGGUCCCCAAACAUGUCUUGGGAACUCUUUGGCUCAGUCCACGUACAGACUGAGCAGGACUAUUUUUUUUUCCCCGCCUCGAACAAAUUAGGUGCAUGGUCUCAGGAAUAACACAUGGUUGCCAUUAACGCUCGUGAUGCUUGGGGUUUGGUGUAAACCCACAUUUUAUCCAUUGAACUAUUUCUUUUUUCCAAAAUAGUGAAAAGAACUGAAAAACACAAAAGCAAUUACAUGAUUUAACUUUCCAUCUCUGUCAAGCCGUGAUUAAAAGUGGAAAAUAAUACUAGCGCUUAGGUUUCUUGCUGGGAAGGCAAAAGGAAAUGUGUUAACAAUGGUUGUUUUUUGAAUGCCAUCAACGACCUGCAAGGCGUGGAGAGUAAGGCUGUCUGGUGAGUGACAGGGGCUUGGUGACCACUCCAGUCCUAGAGAAAUGUGAGAUCUCCGCCAUCGUGAUGCUGGGGAUUAUUGUUUAAUCUCUGAUGCCUCACUCACUUCCGGUAGAAUCCAAGAAGACUUGCUGUGAAACCCCUGGAAUUUCUUAAGCCCGAGAGUGAUAAAGAUGUCUUUUGUUAUGUUAACGAGAUGACAUUUGGAAGGCCCUGGAUCACCUAAAGAUGGGGGCUGGUCAGGAGAAACUAACCAAGUGAUUACAGAGUUGCGACUUUCAGUCCCACCCCCCUGAUCGCUGGGGAGGGGAGGGGGGCUGGAGGUUGACUCAGUCAGCAAUGGCCAAUGAGUCGAUCAAUCACGCCUGGGUACUGAAGCCUGCAUAACCCCCCCCCCCGCCCCCAACAAAAGGCCAUUUGGAGAGCUUCCGGGUUGCUGAGCAAGUGGAGAUGGGGGGACAGUGGCACGCCUGGAGAGGGCAUGGAAGCUCCUUGUCCUUUCCCCAGCCCUCACCCCUCUGCAUCUCUUUCAUCGGGCUCUUCUCGAAUUAUAUACUUUUAUAAUAAACCAGCGAUACAGUAA